UCGAGAAUAUUUAGCAAUGGGCGAAAGCCUGACUAUGCGACGCCGCGUGCAGGAUGAAGGUCUUCGGAUUGUAAACUGCUUUUGUUAGGGGAGAAACCUGAAACGUUAAUAGCGUUUCAGCUGACGGUACCUGACGAAUAAGCCACGGCAAACCCCGUGCCAGCAGCCGCGGUAAUACGGGGGUGGCAAGCGUUACUCGGAAUUAUUGGGUGUAAAGGGCAGGUAGGUGGAUCUAUAAGUGAGGGGUGAAAUCCUGCGGUUCAAUCGCAGAACAGCCUUUCAAACUGUGGAUCUUGAGUGUGACAGAGGAAGAUGGAAUUCCUGGUGUAAGGGUGAAAUCUGUAGAUAUCAGGAAGAACACCAACGGCGAAGGCAAUCUUCUGGGUCACCACUGACACUGAGCUGCGAAAGCUAGGGGAGCAAACAGA
rnacentral:rRNA from 1 species